GUUAACUUAAAUUUUUCGACACAGACGCUUGAGCUAGAUCAUUUCCAAAACUUUAAUCAGUUUAAGGUUUUUCACAGUGCAUACUAGACCGUGGUUAGGUUUAUUUCGUGCAAAGGAUAGUUUUUGUGUUGUUAUUUAGUAGGAGUGUUUAAACAUGUUACUUCACGGCCACAGCAUACAAUAGUGGAUGUAAUUGAUAGCUGAUACAUUUUUGCACAUUGUCAUUAUAGCGGGGAAAGUGAUUUCAAAACAAUUCAAAUGAUUGCCAGAAGUGUAUUGUUCGCAGCCGUUCUUGUGCUCCUGUUCCUCAGUUUUAAAAACUCUUCAUCUCAAGACGUAGAUUUCGACGAGUUCUACUCGGAAGAAGUUCCUGUUCUACCCCGAAUCUGGUGGAUUCUGAAAAAAGUAACGAAAAGAAGGAUAAUCCCUAUGUACUUUAAGCUUACAGUGGAGGAAGAGCUGGGAGAUGAUUUUUUUGACGGACCGCCUUAAAGAAGAAUGGCGUAAUUAAUUGACUUCAUGUAUCUAAAUAACAGUAUACAUUUAAAGAAGUGUUGCUGUAGAUCAAUGUGAUAUAAAUGAAAUACUCCUCUCCGUUGUAUCGAGUUUUAUAGUUGAUAAUAAUAAAAGAUGUGUUAACGUGAA